GUGGGGAAUAUUGGGCAAUGGGCGCAAGCCUGACCCAGCAACGCCGCGUGAGGGAAGAAGGUCUUCGGAUUGUAAACCUCUGUCCUUGGGGACGAAAAAAAUGACGGUACCCAAGGAGGAAGCUCCGGCUAACUACGUGCCAGCAGCCGCGGUAAUACGUAGGGAGCGAGCGUUGUCCGGAAUUACUGGGCGUAAAGGGUGCGUAGGCGGCUUGGCAAGUCAGAUGUGAAAUCCCCGGGCUUAACUCGGGAGUUGCAUUUGAAACUGCUAGGCUUGAGUGCAGGAGAGGAAAGCGGAAUUCCUAGUGUAGCGGUGAAAUGCGUAGAUAUUAGGAGGAACACCAGUGGCGAAGGCGACUUUCUGGACGAAAACUGACGCUGAGGCGCGAAAGCCAGGGGAGCGAACGGGAUUAGAAACCCCAGUAGUCC
rnacentral:rRNA from 1 species